rnacentral:snoRNA from 1 species
UCGCAUGAUGCGGUAAUUUGCGAUUGACCCAGUGUCUGUGAACUCUCGCCGGAGUUCUUAAACAGCGCUGUAGCGUGAUAUUCAUUUCUUACAUAUUCUGAUG